ACUAACUUUAGUAUGCAGAUUAUCAGCGAGCAAUUCAUUCUAUAUUUAUGCCUUCUUUUACGGGCCUGAUUGAAAUAAAAUGGCAGUUGGAGUUUCGUUAGAGUUCUCUGAAUGGGGUCUCCACAGAACUGGAGAGAAUACAGGCUGAGUAAUCUGAAACGAGCCUGCAUGCCUAAUGGCUUCCUCCACUCUUCCACAGAUACAUUUUGGGGGGGCUUUUGUUUUUUGUUUUUGAUUCUCUUCCAAUUUGCAUAUUUACCAAAACCCCAAGGAAAGAAAAAUAAAACAAUUAAAAAUUUUCUAUAAUUCAUUUAAGUCAAAAAUAGAGAAGAGAGAGAAAAAUUUGUAGCUUUCAAACACCAUUAGUUUGCUAAUGAUAGCUUUCAUGCGAUGACAGCCAGCACACUGAUAAGAUGCCGCAGCCAUCCCUGGUGAAGGAAGACGACCAUUUAUAGGCCCCACUCUGUCUCUGCAGCUCGCACAUGUUUUCAAACAUAAUUUCAUGCCUGCUUUCUGACAGCUCAUUAAACAAAGGCCUCUUGGUGGCUAUAUUGCCCGUCUCCCUGCUGAGAAUGCGGCAUAUUUACGGCCUCCGCAGAUUGCUGGCUGCUGGCGCCUUCUCUUGCCCGUGGCCUGCCUGCCAACUGCUUAUCAGUCUCCCCACAAAGGUGACACCGUCUUCGUUUGUUUAGGUAGCGAUGGUCCGGGUUUGACCCUUGGAGGCCAGCAGCCGCCUGAUUAGAAGGGCGCCUGCGCCGGCUAGAUAAAGGCAAUCACACUUGGAGACAGCCAGGGAUGCUGAGCCUCUCGCCAGGCUACGGGCUCCCAUUCAGCAGCACGCAGACAGUUCGUUAGCUCGACAGCUGGCAGCGGGCAGAUCUUGUGGGAUUUCUGUCUCACAGAAAGCAAACAAGGCUUCAGAGUGCUGGGAGCUAUCAGGGGCUGUGUACAAGGGCGAUCAGAGCGGCCUGCUGCUCCUAAUCACCUGCCCCCUGACUACCAUUAAACCCGCAUUACACAUCUAAACCCAUAAAGGGCCCUCUGAAUGCAAGGCCUCAUACCGAGACUUCUUACCCCUUCCUCCUUCUCUUGCCAGAAGCAUUUUUCCGGGGUCCUGGGAGGACAGAUGAAGACAUCUUGGCUACAGCAAGAGGCUGCAGGCUGCAGCCAUCUGCCAUUGCAGGAGCUUACAAAGCUGGUAACAGAUGAUGACAAUGGCCAUGGCGUUUCCAGCUCCUUCGGUGAAGGAGGCGGCGUGUUUAUCGGCAUCUCCUUAGAAAGCAUCUCAAGUGAUGGAGCACCGCUCAGAGGCAGGCAUGGCACAGGUGAUAACAAUGAAGGCUGAGAGUCAGGGCUGGGCUCUACCAAAGUUUCACCUCAGCGUCAGCUGAGUGUGGGCGUGGUGUUUUCCAAAGACCCCGCCCAGAAACUCCAUGUUUCUGCAGAGCACACCACUACACGGUUGUCAUAGAGCUCUUGGCUGCAGCCCUUCUCCUCUGGGCACUGGCGGGCCAGUGUCGGUGACCAUCGACUGGAGGAGUGGCAAACGCUGGCGCGUUCCAGACAGUCUGUAUGACGAAGGAGCCUCGAGCAAGGGCCUGGCGGUCUUCCACGUCUUUCCUCGCUUUUCAAAAGCACCUUGGAGGAGACUGUAGGACGAUGAGAGGCCUUCAGCUCACACUUUCGGAAGGAAUUUCUUAACACCGAAGCUUCUGGAGAAAGAUUAGUCUCCUAUAUACCUUUGUACCUUUGUGCCCAGUGGAGUGAGCUAGAACACAGGUGUUCAAUCCAUGGGGAGAAUGAGAGGAAGGAAAAUUGGGUUCUAACCCUGUCUGUGUAGACGUAACACUUGCUCAGCCUUCUCUCUUACCCCACCCAGGACCACCUAACUAGGGGCCGGGUCCUCCGCGUUAAUCAUGAAUCAAGAAAAUGUCCCACAGGCUCUCUGUCAGGCCAACCUCAUGGCGGCAGUUUCUCACUAGAGGGGCCCUCGUCCCCACGACCCUCGAUUGUGUCAAGUUAACUGAAAACUAACCAGCACACCUGUUUAUAAGUAACCUGAACUCUUGUUUCUAGCUAAAGCCUGUAGUUUUGUGUGCAGUACAGUUUCUGGACACUGAUCUCUACGUUUGUGUGUGAAAUGCUGCAGACAGAACUCACUCAGGACCUUGCCACUGAGGACUUCCCCAGCCCAGCUUAUUCCUUUGUGCAUGUUGUUUUGGGUAGCUACUGACUUGGAAAGAAAGAAUCAUGGUUUCCGUUUUAUGAAUAAAGAUAGCAAAACCCAGAGAAA